rnacentral:piRNA from 1 species
CAUAUGGAACUGGAAGCCAAGAG